CAAUUUUGGAGUUGUGCCCUCCAGUGCAUCUGUAAAUAAUCUUGCUGAAUUGUAUGAGCAUGCAGUGUCGAGGAAUGUGGACUUGGGAGAGGAGGGACACAAAGCAAAUGUGAAGACUUUAAGUAUACAGUUGCAUAUGGACUCAGGAUCCCACUCAACUUCUUCAGGGCCUUAAGAAGAGGUCCGUGUCUACUUUCUUGUUACAAAGCAUGUGAAGAAAGGCACACAAUAGGCAUGAGAACAAUAAGAACAAAGUAGUAGACAAGAAGAGCUGGUUGGGAUGUGAAGGCUGAGGGCAGAUUUGUCUGCUGUGACCCUGAAAUGGUGAAGUUUGGGAUCCUGAGAGAGCCAGGGAAAUGACAGGAUCACAACCCUACACUUCAGAAGAACAGAUUUUGGACUGUUCAGAGAGUUACUUGGAAGACUAUCGUUGGGUUACUGCCCUAGUGAGCAGAGAAGAGGAGAGAAGAGGAAGAUCAGAGAGUCACUUAAUUUUCAAUGAUCACCUACUCCAAGUUCAAGAGCUGCUGAUCUGUUUUAGUAGGAGGUCAUGUAAAGGUGGCUGGACCUUCUCUGAUGAACAAGGAACUCCUGGCAAAACUGCAGUAUAAAAAAAAGGUGUACAAGAAGUGCAGGCAGGGACAAGGGCCCCAGGAUAAACCGAGAGAAUUUAUCUAAGUGUGCAGGGCUGGUCUUAGGAAAGUCAAUUUAGAGUUUAAUCUCACAAGGCACAUGAUGGGCAACAAAAAGGAUUUCUGCAGGCAUAGCACAGCAGCACAAGGAAACCCCAGAAAAUGCGGAGCACCUGCUGAAUUGGUCAGAGGACCCUGUGACAAUGAGCAUGAAAUAUCUUCUUUUCCUUGGUCUUUGCUAGUGUGAUUUACUUUCACUAACCCAGAUCUGGGGGAUCUGUGCCUGGCCUCAGUCAGCAGCUGGUAAGCAAUUACAUUGGAUUUGAUUUCCCAUUCCUCUGAUGCAAGCACAGAAUAGUCAGGGAUCUGUCCAGUGACAGGACAAGAGAUGAUGCACACAAACUGAAAUACAGCAAAUAUCAUUUAAGCUUAAGGGAAAAAGAUUUUAGAGUGCAUAUGGUCAGAGAGGAAAGUUAUGGAGUCUCAGUCAGUGGAGGUAUUCAAAACUUGACUGGACACAGUCCUCAUCAACCUGCUUUAGCUGAUCCUGAGGAGCUCCAGAGGUUCUUUCAAUCUCAAUUGUGACCUACAGGCUGUGCCUUACUGCUACAUACGCUCCUCUGUGUUCAUGGGUAAGGACCACAUCAGCUUACUUCUCAUGAGGAACAGCUCCUCAUGGUGA